GUGACAGGUGGUGCAUGGUUGUCGUCAGCUCGUGUCGUGAGAUGUUGGGUUAAGUCCCGCAACGAGCGCAACCCUUAAGCUUAGUUGCCAUCAUUAAGUUGGGCACUCUAAGUUGACUGCCGGUGACAAACCGGAGGAAGGUGGGGAUGACGUCAAAUCAUCAUGCCCCUUAUGAUUUGGGCUACACACGUGCUACAAUGGACAAUACAAAGGGCAGCGAAACCGCGAGGUCAAGCAAAUCCCAUAAAGUUGUUCUCAGUUCGGAUUGUAGUCUGCAACUCGACUACAUGAAGCUGGAAUCGCUAGUAAUCGUAGAUCAGCAUGCUACGGUGAAUACGUUCCCGGGUCUUGUACACACCGCCCGUCACACCACGAGAGUUUGUAACACCCGAAGCCGGUGGAGUAACCUUUUAGGAGCUAGCCGUCGAAGGUGGGACAAAUGAUUGGGGUGAAGUCGUAACAAGGUAGCCGUAUCGGAAGGUGCGGCUGGAUCACCUCCUUUCUA
rnacentral:rRNA from 1 species